UCGUCACACACGACGGCUC
rnacentral:snRNA from 1 species